GACUUGGUAGCUCAGCUGGUAGAGCAAUUGACUCUUAAUCAAUGGGUCGUGGGUUCGAGCCCCACCCAGGUCA
rnacentral:tRNA from 3 species